CAGCCGCCGCGGGAAUACGAAGGGUGCAAGCGUUACUCGGAAUUACUGGGCGUAAAGCGUGCGUAGGUGGUGGUUUAAGUCCGUUGUGAAAGCCCUGGGCUCAACCUGGGAAUUGCAGUGGAUACUGGGUCACUAGAGUGUGGUAGAGGAUAGUGGAAUUUCCGGUGUAGCAGUGAAAUGCGUAGAGAUCGGAAGGAACAUCUGUGGCGAAGGCGGCUAUCUGGGCCAACACUGACACUGAGGCACGAAAGCGUGGGGAGCAAACAGGAUUAGAUACCCCUGUAGUCCCUGUCUCUUAUAC
rnacentral:rRNA from 1 species